rnacentral:rRNA from 1 species
CAAGAUUGGCGGCGUGCUUACACAUGCAAGUCGAACGAACCUUCGGGUUAGUGGCGGACGGGUGAGUAACGCGUGAGAAUCUGCCCUCAGGAGGGGGGCAACAGCUGGAAACGGCUGCUAAUACCCCAUGUGCCGCGAGGUGAAACGAAUUUCGCCUGAGGAUGAGCUCGCGUCUGAUUAGCUAGUUGGUGUGGUAAAGGCGCACCAAGGCAUCGAUCAGUAGCUGGUCUGAGAGGAUGAUCAGCCACACUGGGACUGAGACACGGCCCAGACUCCUACGGGAGGCAGCAGUGGGGAAUUUUCCGCAAUGGGCGAAAGCCUGACGGAGCAACGCCGCGUGAGGGAUGAAGGCCUCUGGGCUGUAAACCUCUUUUCUCAAGGAAGAAGAUCUGACGGUACUUGAGGAAUAAGCCACGGCUAAUUCCGUGCCAGCAGCCGCGGUAAUACGGGAGUGGCAAGCGUUAUCCGGAAUUAUUGGGCGUAAAGCGUCCGCAGGCGGUCCAGAAAGUCUGCUGUUAAAAAGUGGAGCUUAACUCCAUCAUGGCAGUGGAAACUACUGGACUAGAGUGUGGUAGGGGCAGAGGGAAUUCCCGGUGUAGCGGUGAAAUGCGUAGAUAUCGGGAAGAACACCAGUGGCGAAGGCGCUCUGCUGGGCCAUAACUGACGCUCAUGGACGAAAGCCAGGGGAGCGAAAGGGAUUAGAUACCCCUGUAGUCCUGGCCGUAAACGAUGAACACUAGGUGUCGGGGGAAUCGACCCCCUCGGUGUCGUAGCCAACGCGUUAAGUGUUCCGCCUGGGGAGUACGCACGCAAGUGUGAAACUCAAAGGAAUUGACGGGGGCCCGCACAAGCGGUGGAGUAUGUGGUUUAAUUCGAUGCAACGCGAAGAACCUUACCAGGGUUUGACAUCCUGCGAACCUCUUGGAAACGAGAGGGUGCCUUCGGGAACGCAGUGACAGGUGGUGCAUGGCUGUCGUCAGCUCGUGUCGUGUGAUGUUGG